UCGGAUAUGGUGUAACGGCUAACAUUGCCGCCUCUCAUCGUAGUAGCUCGCGGCAGCUCGGGGUUCGAUUCCCCGUAUCCGAA